GACAGAGGCCUCGAGCGUUAGGCGGAAUCACUGGGCUUAAAGCGUGUGUAGGCGGAUCGUUAAGUGCCUUGUGAAAUCCCACGGCUCAACCGUGGAACUGCUCGGCAUACUGGCGAUCUUGAGCCACCUAGGGGCAACCGGAACAAAUGGUGGAGCGGUGAAAUGCGUAGAUAUCAGGAGGAACACCAAUUGCGAAGGCAGCUCGCUGGGACGUUACUGACGCUGAGGAGCGAAAGCGUGGGGAGCGAACAGG
rnacentral:rRNA from 1 species